rnacentral:rRNA from 1 species
GACGAACGCUGGCGGCGUGCCUAAUACAUGCAAGUAGAACGCUGAAGAGAGGAGCUUGCUCUUCUUGGAUGAGUUGCGAACGGGUGAGUAACGCGUAGGUAACCUGCCUUGUAGCGGGGGAUAACUAUUGGAAACGAUAGCUAAUACCGCAUAACAAUGGGUGACACAUGUCAUUUAUUUGAAAGGGGCAAUUGCUCCACUACAAGAUGGACCUGCGUUGUAUUAGCUAGUAGGUGAGGUAAUGGCUCACCUAGGCGACGAUACAUAGCCGACCUGAGAGGGUGAUCGGCCACACUGGGACUGAGACACGGCCCAGACUCCUACGGGAGGCAGCAGUAGGGAAUCUUCGGCAAUGGGGGCAACCCUGACCGAGCAACGCCGCGUGAGUGAAGAAGGUUGUCGGAUCGUAAAGAUCUGUUGUAAGUCAAGAACGGGUGUGAGAGUGGAAAGUUCACACUGUGACGGUAGCUUACCAGAAAGGGACGGCUAACUACGUG